AGUGAACGCUGGCGGUAGGCCUAACACAUGCAAGUCGAACGGCAGCACAGUAAGAGCUUGCUCUUACGGGUGGCGAGUGGCGGACGGGUGAGGAAUACAUCGGAAUCUACUUUUUCGUGGGGGAUAACGUAGGGAAACUUACGCUAAUACCGCAUACGACCUACGGGUGAAAGCAGGGGAUCUUCGGACCUUGCGCGAUUGAAUGAGCCGAUGUCGGAUUAGCUAGUCGGCGGGGUAAAGGCCCGCCAAGGCGACGAUCCGUAGCUGGUCUGAGAGGAUGAUCAGCCACACUGGAACUGAGACACGGUCCAGACUCCUACGGGAGGCAGCAGUGGGGAAUAUUGGACAAUGGGCGCAAGCCUGAUCCAGCCAUACCGCGUGGGUGAAGAAGGCCUUCGGGUUGUAAAGCCCUUUUGUUGGGAAAGAAAAGCAGCAGGUUAAUACCCCGCUGUUCUGACGGUACCCAAAGAAUAAGCACCGGCUAACUUCGUG
rnacentral:rRNA from 1 species